GGUGCCCAUUAUAUAAGACCGCCUCCUUUCGUUUCACUCACCAUCUCCCCUCAACUCUCCGAUCACAUCUCGAUUUCUCCUCUUCCACACACACACACACACACACACACACUCGCUGCGGAAUUCGUUUUUGGGACAGGGAGCUCUGCAGCGGCAGCGGCAAGAAAAUUAGCAGCGCAGAGCGAUGGAGAGCGUGGAUGAAAAUGGAGGAAGCCGCCUUGUGGUGACCGAGCUGGGCUACAUCAAGGAGCUGGUGAGGCAGCUGGACGUCAACCUGGGAGGUUGCCCCGACCACUGCAAGCGCCUGGCCGCCCAGAUCUUCGCCCUGACCGAGAGAUCCAUCGGCAUGAUCAGGUCCGGGCACUACGACUGCCGGAAGCGCUCCGCCGCCGGCCUCGACUCGCCGCCGUUCUCCGCGACGCCCAGCCCCCUGAGCGACGUUUCCGGCAUGCCUUUCCAUAACAACAAGAAGAGGAAGACAAUGGAGAAACGGAAGCAUCAGGUCAGGGUGAGCUCGGAGGGAGGAGGAGCAGAGACCCCAGUCGAUGACGGCCACAGCUGGAGGAAGUACGGCCAGAAGGACAUCCUUGGAGCCAAGCACCCAAGGGGAUACUACCGCUGCACGCACCGCAAAUCCCAGGGAUGCGCGGCGACGAAGCAGGUGCAGCGCGCCGACGAGGACCCGGCGCUCUUCGACGUGAUCUACCACGGCGAGCACACCUGCGUCCAUAAGACGGUGGCGACCGCGGCGGCGGCCAUGGCGCAGCCGGCGGAGGAGAACCCGGACGCGCGUAGGCAUCUGCAGAACCUGAGCACGAGCCUGACGGUGAACACCGAGGGACUCACGGCGACGGCGGGUCAUCAGGGCUGCGGCACCACCACGUCCUUCUGCUUCUCCUCGCAGGCGGCGGGCGUGCUGACGACGCCGCAAGAGCACUACCCGUUCUCCAUGCCGUCGACGCCGGAGAACUGCUUUGGGCAGCGCGCAUCGCUGUCGACGUCCCUUGAACCCUCGCCGGUGACCUCGGAUUCGAACCGCUUCUCCAUGAACCCGUUCCAGGCGGAGUGGAGGGCGCAGUCUGAGUACGACGAGGUGGUAUCCGCGCUCGUCGCUGCGGGGACGAUGCCGGCGCUCGCCAUGGAGAUGGAGGAGGAGACCGCCUUCUCGCUGGACGAGUUUGAGUUUGACGUUUCUAGCUUCCUUGCCUGAGAUGAUGGUCAAAAGAGAAAACCAAAAGAAAAGCAGGAAAAAAAACGGGACUGUACAAUUUAGAUGUAUCACCCGCCGAGCUCUGAUUUUUGGUCAGCGACAGAGGAAGAAUAACAACAAACAAGUUCUUCAUGGGUCAGUGCGGGUGUUUGUGUAAGCUUUAGGAGAUGAUGAGAUUAGUUCCUUUUCUUCAUAUUCUUUUAAUUUAUUUUUAUUCCAGAGAUUUUUCUUCUAUAUACAACUAGUAGUUCCCAACGAGGUAAAAAGUGUAGUGGCAAAAACAAAUUGUAAGCAAUGCAUAUUUCUCCACCAGACUUUUAUUGCCACUUUUUUC
rnacentral:rRNA from 1 species